rnacentral:rRNA from 1 species
UACGAAGGGGGGCUAGCGUUGUUCGGAUUUACUGGGCGUAAAGCGCACGUAGGCGGUUUGUUAAGUCAGGGGUGAAAUCCCGGAGCUCAACUCCGGAACUGCCUUUGAUACUGGCAAGCUAGAGUCCGGAAGAGGUAAGUGGAACUCCUAGUGUAGAGGUGGAAUUCGUAGAUAUUAGGAAGAACACCAGUGGCGAAGGCGGCUUACUGGUCCGGAACUGACGCUGAGGUGCGAAAGCGCGGGGAGCAAACAGG